CUUUCUGUUGUCUUGCAGAUUGUCAUCCCUUUCUUCAGCCUGCUCAUAAAAGACAUCUACUUCCUCAACGAGGGCUGUGCCAACAGGCUGCAGAGCGGACACAUCAACUUUGAGAAAUUCUGGGAACUGGCCAAACAAGUCAGCGAGUUCAUGGCGUGGAAGAAAGUCGAGUGUCCGUUUGAGAAAGAUCGCAAGAUCCUGCAGUACCUGCUGACCGCUCCGGUGUUCACUGAAGACGCGUUGUAUCUGGCGUCUUACGAGAGCGAAGGUCCUGAGAACAACAUGGAGAAGGACAGAUGGAAGUCUCUGAGGUGAGUCUGAACCCUCCUGUCUCUGUCCUCUCACACACACACACACACACACACUCUCACACACUCACACACUCACCCUCGGGGCUUUGGAGUCUUUCAAUCACGCCUGUCACCCCACAUCGCCUCCUGCCUCUGCGCUGACCGGGCAGACGCACGGGGAUGUAGGUCACACUGAUGCUGACCCGCACGCGAGUCAAUAAAUGCAUUAAGGACACACACACGCACACACACACAGGUGCUCGCCAUUCUUCUCUGUCACACCAUCGCUCGCAAAGACACACACAAAGGACAUCAGUCAUUUUCACACAAUUACAUCCUACACACACACACACACACACCGCGUUAUCACACAGCACUCUGUGUUUGUGAAGAUGGAUGAGGGAGAAUCGGCUUUGUUCGUUUGGCUCUAACUCGUUGCAGAAAGCCCCGGAGAGCUGACAGAGGGGAUAUUUCCUCGUGCCUCAGCAUCACACGCCGAUGUUUAAUUGACACAAACUGAGUCUGCGACGUUUGGUUUUUGCCGCAGUGACAAAACGGGUCGUCCAGCAAUCAUGAGAUCUGUCUGGAGCCGUCACUUCCACGAAAUUCAGCGAUACUCUCUUCACACCAUAGACCAGGGCCCGGAGCAGAGUUUACAUGACCACAGAGCCCGAAUCAUUCGAUAAGUGAGAGCACUGUGCUCCGUACUCAGACACACGACGUCAGUCACACUCAAUCUAUGGCCCACGGACCAAAUCUGGCCCCGACACGGUCCCGAGUGGCCCCGCAACCGUUUUCUGAUUCACAAUGAAAAUGAAGUGAUUGACCCUGGGAACUGUUUUUGUACUUUUAGUGUACAUAAGCUGCAACAAAAUAGAACUUGUUCAUCAAAAAAGUGCCAGUUGAGGAUCCACCGCACCCCCUGACAGAAGUCCUAAAAAAGCCCUGAAAAUGUCCUAAAAUCC